UGACCCAUUUUGUUUGUAAAAGCUCUAACCGUGCCAAAACUUUAAAAUGUGAAACACAAGCAAAUAUGGCCUUUAAACAGCACAGCUUGUGUAACAUAGUUAAAAUGGUUCAGGUUAAAUCCUGCUAAAAUGCACCAUCUGCUGGUAAAACGGGGUAUUGCAUUCACCCUAGAAAGAGCGGGGUAUUAUGGGUAAUCCUCAGAGCCAUGAGGAUCACUGUCGAGGAGUUUCUUUCAUGCCAGAGACUGACUUUACCUCGGUGCCCAUGUGUGAAAUGCAGGUGGAGAAAUAAAGAAAACAACUGAUGCCAGAUUGAGCUCCUAGUCAUUCAUUUCUGCACCAAGAAGCCACCAGAUCCACAUAGGCCACACUUGCAACCAAGUACAUGAACUCAUCCAGGCACACGUGCAGAAGAGGGGCGAAGAAGGCUUGAGCCCCUACCCCUUUUAUUUUUGAUGCCCUAGUGCCCUUUUUAGGGUUUUUUUUAAAUAUAUGUAACCGAUAUUAGAUAUACGGGUGAAAUUCUUGCUAAAAUAUGUUUUGUAAAUAUCUUUGUAUGUAUUUCAUAAUUGCCUUGUGAUUAGUGGUGUUUGGCGCCCCCUACUGGUUGCCUAUAAAUGCGAGGGGAAAUUGGAAAU